AUUUUCUUCAGCAGCAUAUACUAAAAAACUAGAAUGAUACAGACAAGAUUGGGAUGGCCCUGUGCAAGAAUGACAUGCAAAUACAUAAAGUGUUCCGUUUAAAA
rfam:Otolemur garnettii contig087180, whole genome shotgun sequence.